rnacentral:rRNA from 1 species
ACAGAGGGCUCAAGCGUUAAUCGGAAUCACUGGGCUUAAAGGGUCCGCAGGCGGAUUGGAAAGUAUCUUGUGAAAUACCACGGCUCAACCGUGGAACUGCUCGGUAAACUUCCAAUCUUGAACACGGUAGGGGCCAUCGGAACUCUAGGUGGCGGUGAUGACGUAGAUAUCUAGAGGAACGCCAGAGGCGAAGGCGGAUGGCUGGGCCGUUGUUGACGCUCAGGGACGAAAGCAUGGGUAGCGAACGGGAUUAGAUACCCGGUGUC